rnacentral:rRNA from 1 species
CAGUAGCCGCGGUAAUACAGAGGGUGCGAGCGUUAAUCGGAUUUACUGGGCGUAAAGCGUGCGUAGGCAGCUUUUUAAGUCGGAUGUGAAAUCCCUGAGCUUAACUUAGGAAUUGCAUUCGAUACUGGGAAGCUAGAGUAUGGGAGAGGAUGGUAGAAUUCCAGGUGUAGCGGUGAAAUGCGUAGAGAUCUGGAGGAAUACCGAUGGCGAAGGCAGCCAUCUGGCCUAAUACUGACGCUGAGGUACGAAAGCAUGGGGAGCAAACAGGAUUAGAUACCCCGGUAGUCCCUGUCUCUUAUAC